ensembl:lncRNA
AAUCCCCCUAUAGGGUCCGCACAGGGCCCCUAUAGCCCCUAUAAGGUCCCCAUAAACUUCCCCCCCCCGCCCUGAACCUUCGCACAGUUCCCGCUCGGGCUCGCAAUGCGCAGGCGCGAGGCCACGUGACCGCCGCGCACCAAUCAGUAAAGGAAGCAGGGUGGCGCUGGGACGUUUCACGUGACGGGAAGUGGUUCUACAGCUGUUUUCCGUUUCCGGUGCCCUCCGCUUCCGGCGGCGGAGUGAGACCAGCAGGGCCCGGGCGGCGUUCCCAUGCUCCAAGUUUCCACGAAUUCCUUUGGAGCUGUCACUAAACUGCCACCUGGACCCUCAUCAAACGCUAACAAAACGCCAAAUGGAUCCUAAUUUAGAGUUAAUUGAAGGUUGAUUAAGCUCAGAGGAGCCUCAAUUAAGCACUAAUUAGCCCCUAAUGAGGAGGUAGCACCCAGGCCUCGCCAUGACCGCGGCGCUGCGGCGCUUCUGCACGAGGCCCCCCCAGGAUCACUACCAGGUUUUGGGGGUCCCCCCCGACGCCACCCCCCAACAGAUCCGUGCGGCGUUCCUGCAGCGCUGCAAGGAGGUGGGGGGGCACUGGGAGGGACUGGGAGCAACUCGGGGGGCAAUGGGAGGGACUGGGAGGGACUGGGAGUGACUGUGGGGGCG